rnacentral:snRNA from 1 species
AUUCUUAGUAUCGUAGCCAAUGAGGUUUAUCCGAGGCGCGAUUAUUGCUAAUUGAAAUAAUGUAUUCUUUAGGAAGAUUCAAUAUAUUAUUUUUAUAGUCAGUAUUG